CUAGUACUACCUACGUACUACUCUCUAUAUAAGUGCUUAUCAAGUUGAGCACCCAUUGCACAGAUUGUUAGCUUGCAAUCCAAGUAGAAAUACAGCAAGGGAGGAAGCACAGAGUCGAACGAUCGAGGAUGGCGAAGAAGAACUCCUCUGCGACCUCGGUUCGGCUGAUGCUGAUCCUCCUGGUUUUACUGGUUUUCGUUGGAGGCAUCCUCGCACGAGGUGGGCCGACCACCUGCAGCAACCCUGCUGCUCAGCGAAACUGCCCGCCGAUCCGUAAUGGCGGCUCAUAAGCACAACAUGGAGCACGAAGGGUUUAGUAGGCUCUCGCAUUCGCCGGCGUCGAUUUUGUUCUGAACCGAAUAAUAUUGUAUGUUCUUGAUGCGUCGAUUGUUGUGUGUGUGUUGAUGUUCCCCGUAUUUUUGUUUGUAUUGUGGCCUGGUUUAUAAAUAAAUAGUACUACAAUGAGUCGGGAAGUUCUCUUGCCCAUGCUGGACUUUGAUUAUUGGAUCUGAUGGCCAAAAAUAAAUAAAAAAUCAGAGCUAUCCGUGAGUA